UUUUUUUUGUCGCGCCUCUCUUGGUGUUGAAUACCCUUUAUUGGUACCUCUACCACCCCGUCCACCACCGAAGGAUUAAAUCUAAAGAUUGGUCUUACGCAUGGACUUAAUUAAACCGCCAAGACUUAUGGAUGCAGGUGACAAAACAAAGGAACGUAUAACCAUAAACCAGCUCAAGAACAAAGAAAUCAAAACAAAAUAUAAACAACACUAAAAGUACGAGUGACACGGGAAUAUUUUUACUCAGAGUUGAAAUGCCGGCGGCAUUGACGCGCCAAGUCAAGUACUUGGUAUUUGUGUAAUAAGUAUUUCUUGGCAGAUUGAAGAUAUUUAGUAAUUGGAACGUGUUGUCAUUAAAAGUGGUAGUAAAGGUGCAAUUUAAUUUACCUAUCAGAUAUGGGUCUCUAAUUUACUAACACUAAUUACAGUUAGAUACCUACAUGGCUAAUAUUCAAAAACUUUGUUAUGAUUUCACUUUGAAUACUUAUUAAUUUUUUACUUGGUAUUUAAGGUUAUAUUUUAUUUUCAAUUUUAUAUAUUUGAUAAUAAAGACUACAGUAGGUAAUUUUGAGAUAUUGUGUCGCAUACCUAUGUUGUAUGCAAUUAUGAAGUAACUAUUUAAAAAACAAAUGCUAUUUAUUUAUAACAAAUGUGAACUUAUGACUUAUGUGCAUAAUUAAAAAAUGAAACAUA